rnacentral:rRNA from 1 species
UACGUAGGGUCCGAGCGUUGUCCGGAAUUAUUGGGCGUAAAGGGCUCGUAGGCGGUUUGUUACGUCGGGAGUGAAAACUCAGGGCUCAACCCUGAGCGUGCUUUCGAUACGGGCAGACUAGAGGUAUUCAGGGGAGAACGGAAUUCCUGGUGUAGCGGUGGAAUGCGCAGAUAUCAGGAGGAACACCGGUGGCGAAGGCGGUUCUCUGGGAAUUACCUGACGCUGAGGAGCGAAAGCAUGGGGAGCGAACAGG